ACACUUUGUUGAUAGAGGGACACGUUAAAUAUAUUAUAGUAAAUUGAAAAUAUUAGCACCAAAAAAUUGUAUAAAUUUUUAAAAGUAUUUUAUUACAGUUAUACAAUUUCAAAACGUUUGCAACAAUAAUGUAUACAGAGUUUACAUAUAUAAACUAUUUAGCUAUUUAAUUUGUAACAUAUGAAAAGCCUGAAUCAAUUAACUUCGCUUUUACAUCGAACCCGUUAGUUUCCGGGCUAGGCACAACUGUGCAUCGGAUAAAUUUAUAUGAUAACUAAUGCAAUUAGUGCAUCGGAAGGAAUAGCUUAUGCAUGAAUUAAUAGGCGAUGUUGGUGAACACUGCCGUUGAUUAGUGAUGUUAAUAAUCAGUCGAUGAAAGAAAAUAAGUAAUAUCGGAUGGGAUAUAUGUUACAAUGAUUACGGGAAAGUUGCGGUGUGUAUUAGUGUUAUAGGCUCAUGUAAAUAAAUGGUAAAUAUUGACAAUACGUGAUGCUCGUUGUUACUCGAAAAUCUAUACAUAAUAGCAACCUGGGGAUGGAAAUGAUUCCAAUUUGAUAUUAUCAGCGAUAAUACUCAACGCGCUUGACUCAAAAAUUAAUAUCCAUGCGAAUUUACUGGCACACUCUGUGCCGGAAAGUGAAUGUAAUCAAGCGUCCGAUAUAACGCGGUUACAAUUACACCUCUUUAUUGUCUAAUUAAAAUCAGCUCUACACUUUGCACGAAUUAUAUUUGUUGGCUCUAUAUAGAUAUUAAUAUCCGCAUUUGGAUAAAAAAAGUUAACAAUCGCUAGAAAAUAUAAACGUAUGGAAAAAAAUUAAAAUUACUGUACUGUAGUGAAUGGGAUUUAAUUAAAUACAAUUCAAUUAUGAAACUUUCCGCUUACAUUAUUUUAUGAUAUCACUAAUUUUAUUGAGUAGAUAUACACAGUUUUAAUAAUACAUUUGAAAACACUGUGGAUAUUAAGUGUUAAAGCUAAAUAAUAUUAUUAUACAACAUUAUUAUAAAAUAGAAAUAUUUCACAUUAAUGCAUUUAAACAGAAAUAUUAUAUACAAAAUACUACAUGUGUGUAGAAUAAAUAUGUUAUGCAAUAAGAAUACAUUUUUUAAUUAAUCGAAGAAGGUAAAGAUCGUAAGUAGAAAAUAUUCUAUUCAUCGCGAAAUCAUGAACGAACAGUAGCGCUUAUCGAUAAACACGAAAAUUGCGGCACGAACGUGUCUCUUGUAACGUUGAGAGAGUCAAUACCCCAAAGAGAGUAAAACGCCAGACAGAAACAAAAUUUUGCGGUGAGAGGGUUGUUGGGAAAGGGCCAAUAAGGUUUCUGUCGAAUUUAUUUGCCAAACAUCCUGGGUAUCGAGGGUUUCGUGUCGAACGUCAAAUAUAACUCGAAUAGGUAGAAGCCUUUUCCUUAUCUCAGCUAUAUACAGUAUUUCACAAAGAAAAGUAUGUGUAGCAUGAGAGUCUAGCUACCUGCAGAAUGUCUUUCUUCGUCCCUUGCCUUGUAAAUCUUUAUCUAAUUGGCUAUUCCUGUGACAGUAAAAAACCUAAAAUAAAAUUAACGUAUUAGCAUACGUAUCAAUGUAUAUAUUCAUGAAAAAAUAUAAGCUUGAUUUAUUUUGUUCGAUGAUAUUAGUGAUUUCGUAAAAAUUAGAUUCUAGUGGAUUAUUUUUUUUUUACGUAUAAAAUAUGUGUUUUUCAUAACAAUAUGUAUACCUACUAAAAAAAAAGAUUAGUUACUGCAGCAAGAAUCUGCAUGUAAUAAUUAAAUUUGGUAUUCUCUUAUUGUCUGUAUUUAAAUUUUAAAUGUAUAUAAAUAAGAUUUAACUAUUUUGCUGCUGCAACUAACUACCCUAAUCUUUUUUCUUCAUAAUGAAUUUAAGAUUCAGAAUAUAUACUAUUUCUUUUUCGUUAUAACAUAUCCUAUAAAAGUGCUAAUGUUUCCCAGCUAUCGAUAUACGAUAAAGCUGUGUAAGUCGUUGCGAAAUAAUUUCAAUGAAAUACAUUUUUUAGGAGUAGAAAGUUAGUACACCUAUGUGCAGUCGAGCGACAGUUCGUGCUGCCUCCAGAGGAUACAGAUUUCGGGGCGAGUGCUCGGGAGAAACUUCUUAAGAAAAUACGUUCCGAGCAAUCGGUAUCGGAGUGCGAAGUCUAGUUCGAACUUUCGCGACUGCUCCACCUCGGUCGUCCGGCUAAGCAAUCUUCUUGAAACUCUCUUGGCUCCCCCGAGGAAUCGCUAUCCGAGUUGGUUCAGAUGAUAAACACGGGACUCUAUGAUAAGAAGCAUGCUGUAUUCCCCGCGAUAACGAAUAAUUGAGCAUACAGCGUUACGUUUUGCAUUGCGCUGAACUGUAGCGUGAAGGAAGAUUAAUACUCCUGAAAAAUGAGUAUCUUUAUUAAAUAGAACAGUUGUAUGUGUUGAGGCGCACGAUGUGAUGCAAUUCGAAAUAUGUACGAGUUAAUUUAUUAGAUGUAACACCAACUGCAUCGUUAAGAUUCAUUUUAAAUAAUUUAUAACGGUUCUUUCUUUUGUCUUCUUAAUAGAUGCAAAUGUCUCUUUUCUCGUGAGAUUUCGAAACUUUCAUUUUCUCGAAACUGUCCCCGCAGAAUUUUUCAGUAUUUCUCGGCGAAUGUAGAAAGAUCGAAAAAACCUAAAGUUCAAAUGUCGAGACGAUUUAUUGUCGUCUUUCUCCCCCUCUCGUCUUUCUUCUUUCUCCUAGUUUUCUUCUCAGCUAUUGUGAUUCGUGUUGACUGUUGACUGGAUAGUCGACAGGGUAAAAUGGAACCAGUGCAACGACGAGGCGAAAUGAAAGCCCGGCAUUGGAAGCCCCGACCGUGGUUGUGCAUUAAGUUGAAAUCCCCGUAUUUGCUCAACGUGGAAAAUCGUGGAAAAUCACUGGAAAAUCCACAUCGCCGAAAACAAAAACGGUUCGCUAUGUGCAAAUAGAGGGGAUUGCGUAGACUCAUGUUCGCUUACAAAAAGGGUGCGCGGGUUGACUACAAAACGUUACACCGAUCGCUGACCUCUUUAAUUAAGUCCGUUGACUGUAUCGAGUUGUACGUGUCGCGCGUUAACGCGAUGUUUCCAAGUCCGUGAAUGUGUGAUGUGUACUUGUCGCGAAUGUACACUAGAACUUUUUAUGCUCUUUGCAAGUCCAACUUUUUUUAUGUUGAAAAUUUUAGCACAAAUAGAGAAGGUAACGGUGAGAAAACGAGGAAAAUAUAGUUUGCUCGCAUUGCUAUUCUCGGACGGUUUCGCUUUGCGCGGCCGUCCGGCCUGAAAAUGACGUUUUGCGGAAUCGACAGUUUUCUGCCAUAUGGGUUAACAAAUGCUGAAUAACCCGAAAUUCCGGAAGCCGUUAAAGCUAGAUGAGAACGUGAGAAGGAUGGGGGAUGCAGGGAUGCAGAUGACGCCAUGUCGCGGCGCUGCGAAUUAUAAUUAAAUUUAAGUACGCAGCUCCGGUAGUUACGCAGAAAUGCAUGUGAGAUUUUGGGGCGGAAAUUACUUCGUGUCAUUCCGAGGGCUUGCUUUGCCAUAGUAUUUUAUGCAGUACGUAAGUAACCGCACCCCAAUUAACUUUAAGCUAUUCCAAUUUUAUUUGCGAUUGUUGUUAUUACCCUCUGUUCAUCAUAUGAACUUUCAUGUUUGAUAUAACAAAAAUAUAUGGACUUUUAUAUAUAUGAUCUAACGAAAUCUCUUACACGUGUCAUACAUACAUAUAUACGUUUACAAAUUCAUCCGUUGUCAACGCAACGCAGUUAGAAGAUUUAACCUCGGUUUAUCGGGCCACCUGUACACAUAUUAAUGUUAGUUUCAAUUAUACGAAUAAUUAUGCGGAAUAUUAUGAGUCACAAUGAAAUUCAAUAUGUUUUAUUCACGGUGCCCAAACGUAAUUAUAACCCAGAAUAGUUGUCGCCUUGUCUGGAACGGGGGGGAGGAGGGGGGGGGGGGAUUCAUACCGCGCAAUAUUAACAUUGCUUCUUUUUCGGUGUCGCGAAUGCUGAGGUAACAAAAGCAAAAGCUUGGGUCCCUGUAAUAAUUAGCCACCAUACAAAAUUAAUGUAGCGUGGGAUGCCGUGGAAAGGCAAACUUUCGAGCGUUCUAAUACCGCGACGCGCCGCGCUGCGGAACUCCAUACAGUCACCAGCACGUUGUUGUUGCCGAUCAUUAAUAAAGCUGCGGGCUGCUGCUGCUUCUUAUGCUGUCUUCUGCAAACACGCGACAGUUAUGCGCCGCAUCGACUUACGAAUUAAUCUUUUAAUACCUUAUGGUGUUAACGAGGCCACUUUAUCAUUAUGUCAGGGCGACCGUUUAAACGGACAUGCUUAGCAAACUGCAAUUUUAAUUUUACUUUCGUAAUAGGAUGACACUUUUGUAUUUGUUAUAAUAAGUUUGUAGCUAAUAAUAAACCGUCUAGUUUUUUACAAUUUAUAUUUGUUUAAAAUUAAAUUGAGAUAAAAAAAGGAAGGAUUUAAUGGAAAAAUACUUUCUUUCUUAAACAUUAAAAAAUAUAUUUAAAGCAAUAAAUAUAUUUAAGAGCCAUAAAGGUAAUAAAAGGUUAAUAUUUUAUUUUUAAUAUAUCAUAACUCUAACGUUUGCUCUUUUAUAAAAUUGCUUUAUAUAGUAUAUAUUUGCUUCAUAUCGAUGAUAAAAAGUUUUAUGUAUUUUAUUCGCACAACUGUUUAGAGUUCAUAUUUAUAAUUGCUUGCUCAUAUAACAUGUAUAAUUCCAGCAUCAUCGACGAAGUAUAUAAAUCCGUGAUAUUUAAAGGCGCAAAAAAAAUUACCACUCCCGUGCAGUUCUUUGACGCACUAGUACGUAAUUGUAGCGUCAACGAUCAUUCGAAACCCAGGUCAUUUCGAAGCUCUCCGUAGUAACCGGAGAGAGGGCGAAAGUAAUUACCGGUCGUGGCGCGUAAGUAAUUAAGUAGCCGCCUAGCACGAAUUGCAGAAAAGCUCGCUAAAUUGAAGGCACGUUCGUAGUGUAACCGUGCGCAUGCAUGGCCGGUUUCACGGGAGCUCAUGUCCAUGUGUGUGUGUGUGUGUGUGAGAGAGGUCGAGUAAACCGGGUGCGUGCGCGCUCGUGCGCGCUACACCGGGAGCCUCGUCCACAUUGAUGAUAUCUACAGUUGUAGUACGGUUAGGUACGUUAAUGUAAUCAUUCUUGAGUGUGCUUCCGUGAUACGUGUCGCAACAUACAUCUGUUCCUUCUGAUUAACUUUGUCUACUCUUUGUAUUGUAUUCACGAUCGCGCGAGGAAGCACGGAAACGAUCGGAAGUGGAUGAGAGGAUAGGGCAAGUGCCGUCGGGACGGACGGUUGCGUUUCGCUCUCGAGCUGGAGAGCACAAGUAGGUACGUAUGUGGGCAUACAGUGGUCUUACGUGACCGACCUCGUAAGUACGCGUGGCCACGAUCGACACGUAGGAAAUGAGUAUUGGCCGAUCAAUAAUGGAGAGAUUCCUUAAAAUAUUUAGUAACAAUCCACUUCCGUAGGAUUUCGUUAAAUGGACUAAAUUUCAAACCCGUUGAAAAGCUUCCUCCUCUGUAAGAGCGGGCUUUGCGAUCCUUUUGCUGUUUGCCGUUGCUCUCGUUUAUUCUAUCGUGGUUUCGCAAUGCCACAUAAUUGCGUCACAUAAAAUGCGUGCGUACUAAUAAACUUUAUAUAUUGUAUUGUAUUUAAAUAUUUUAAUGGUUCGAUAUGUAUAUCAGAUAUUUAAAAAAUAUUGAAAUUUAUGAGAAACGUAUGUACGUAUGUAGAAGAAAAUUUACAAAUUAUUCGAUAGCUGAUAUUACACUCGAUUACUGUUGCAAAUUAUUAUAAUCAUGUUUUUUUUUACAAAAGUUAAUGUGUUCCACAUUAUGUAAAAAGAGUAUCGGAACAUUUUCAUUAUUUUGCAAAUUUGUAUUUUCAGACAUUACUGCAAGGAUAAUUUGUAUCUCUGAUAAUUUUAACAAAUAUUUUUAUUUUAUUUUAUUUUUAUUUUAUUUUAAAUUGUUCUUUUUAUAUACAUAUAUGAUUUUUUUUACGUUUUUUUAUGGCUUAACUUUAUGCAGGUCAAAUUUGCGCAGCUGUAUACAUUUUAUAAUUGGGUUCCUUUGUUGGGUUCCUGUUAAUUGCCGUCCAAAUUAUUCCCUGCAGAGGGACGUCGCUACUUCAACCUGGUAGUGUUUUGUGUGACGAAGGUUGUUUUGGUUCAGGAUUAGUUGACAAAAGGCGAGUAUCGCCCGCGAAGGCUGUUAACUAUCGCCGGCUGUUGCCGGGCGAGUGCGCGGGUCAAAUUUAAUUGUAGUUAACGACUGAAAAUUAGUGUUCAUCCUCUAGGUGCGCGCGAAUUAUUAUUAACGCGAUACGGAGUGUAACUGCGAGUGUAACUGCGACUGCAAUUCCUAAUUCCGCGAGGUCCAUGACAUAAAGCGUACCGCGGAAAUCUAAUGGCGUAAUAUAUCGAUGUUACAGGCAGUGCAAUUCUACGUCAGAGAACUCAAUACAAAAGAUUAUACAUUUAUAAUUAACAGCACUGCAGAACACUGCUUUCAUUUUUAUAAUUUUUCUCUAUAGACUUUGUACAAUGUAAUUUUGUACAAUAUAAUUUUCAAUAACGAAACUUUUUAAUACUAAAAAUUCACAGUAUUGGCAAACACAUUGCGUUUAUUUACUUAUUCAUAAAAUCUAUUUCUUUUAAUAUUUCUCUGCGUUCCUAUUUUAUUUUUUCAAUUUUUUAACAUUUAGCUUUUUGUUAUAAUUCUUCAUUUUUUAUUCGCUAUUUUCUUUAAAUUUUGCCAGGUCUCUUGUGGCUAACAUGACUGAAAAUAUUCAUACAUGCGGUACGAAUAUUUUCAGUAGUAAAAGUCAAGUUUUGGCCAAACUGAGUUAAUUUUUUUUUUGCGCAAUGUGUUUUGUUCAAAGCUAUUUCUAUGUGGUAUUUACAUUCCGUAUUUGCAGGGACACUCUUUUCCUCUAUCUUCGUUGAGAAGUGCGUGAUUACCCCAAUUUAUCAAGCCGUCUGCCCUUGGAGAAAAUCAAUUAGCUGCAACUUAGCGGUAGACCAUACGGCGCGUGUGACGCAAUCGAUUCUCAUAUGCACGCGUGGUAAAUUAUAAACGCAACACCAGUUGCAUCCGGCAUAGUUGAAACUGUAGCAAUUAUCGCGGAACUUCUGCCUGACGAAAACGCGUCCGUCAAAUCUCGCCAUUUCGCGGUGAGAAUGUGUCGGCUGCCGCGCGGGUCUUGAGAACAUGUCUCGAGUAGCUAGCAACCAAGUAUCGUGUAUCACAGCGCGCGACGUAUACGGGGCAGGCGAAACCCCCGUAUAUACGUGGGGAUGAUAACGGUGACUAUUAUUAAUCUACGUAGGAGAGCGCGGCAAUCAAUUACCCUAUCUUAUGCCACCUCAACGUACAGCCGCCAUGACCUCCGGCGCAAAACGGUAACGCCUGCAAGUCCAGGGACGUAGAACAAUGUACCUAUACGCUAACGAGUUUCUAGAAUCCCGGAUAUCGUGCGGAGGGUUCGGUUACGCGAACGCUCGCGUAAGUGUGGGUGGUGCACGCUUUAUACGCGUGCAACAACUUUGCGCUACGUACGGUGCGGCCAUCCCGGCACUACCGUGCAUUUGCGUAGUCGUUACUUUUGCUCGUGGAUGAGCCCGCGCGUAGAUGUGCCGACAUGUACUUCUAACGGAGGGACAUCAUUAAACUGUUCAUAACGGAGGAAUGAUAUGCUGUAGAUGUGGCGUAAAGACCAUCAGCACAUAUACGUGGACGUGAUGCGGCGGUACAGGGGUAUUAUUAUCUGACCGAACCACUUGAAAGAGGUUCGAGCGCAUCGCGAUAAUCCGCAAAGCUAAUAUUAUGAAGGAGUAAUACGAGACUUUCCAAGCGGAUCUUUAACGUUAGUAAUAAGUAUUAUAUAUAACUCAAAUUAGACGGGAAGCAUUUUGAAGCUUGAACUUAUAUUAGAUGUUAACUUAUUAAAGCUGCAGUUAAGUAACGUGUAUCGCACCGCGAUAGGGUUAUUUUAAUGCUAAUAGUAAACCGUAUAACCGUAUUUUACGGUCGGAAUUUUUUAUGCCGGUCGGUGUAAUACACCUCGGCGUUGCACCGCGGGAGGUGAUGAGAGAUCGCAUUUUCUUGCGAUCGAAUCGCGAAUUUAACGCAGCCGAUUGAGCACUCCGUAGAAUCGAACCUGCUAAUCGGUGUGGACGUAAACGACUCUCGUUAUCUCCCUUCAGUGCUUAUCGAUUCGGCGAAUCGCACGAGCGGAAUCCGUUUAGACGGCGCUAUUUGUCAGCGCCAAAUGAGGCGAUUACACGCGCCAGUCCGACGUAUAUAUACCUGCGAACGAUAUUUAAUUAGAACCCGAUCGGCACCGCCAUUGCACCGUAGCGGAUUUCGUAACGGUAAAUGAGAGGGCUGGAAAAUUAGGAGCAUGAAGCGACUACGUUUGACCGUAUCUUCAAUAUUAGUUGCUGAGAUUUAAUAUUUAAUAAUGUGCAUCGAAACAGCGGGUAUUUUAUCUAUUAGUCAACUAUUAAUUCACAUGAAUUGUAUAAUUUAUAAUUUACAUGCGAGCUCAAGUGAAUGUUACAUUAAUAAUUAUGUGGGUAACAAAAUAUUCAUGUGACUGAUAAUGAUCGUUUCAAUAAUGACUUAAUUAUGUAAAUGCCACAUAACGUAACGGGAAUAAAUUCCCGUUAUCUUAAGGUAGACAGGAACGGAGAUAAAAUACACAUUUUUAUAAAUAUGCAAUAGAUGAAAAGUCUUCCGAGUCUCUCGCGUAAUAGAUUCACGCGAAGGGCUCUCGCUCUCACGGCUGAAAAAAACACAUUUCACGGCGAGUGUCAUUUCAGCGCACUCCGCCGCGAUAUAAAAAUGUUCCCUGGCGCGUUUUGAAGCUGUCCGUCGCAGUGCUGCGUUUCGAGACUAUAAAAAUUUAGGCUGUCCUACCUUCCGGAUAAAAAUGCUUUUCGUCAAAUAAUCGUUUUAUACGUUUAUUGUUUCGCUCGUUUGUAUUGUUAUUAUCACACAGUCUCUCCCUCUCUCUCUCCAGCUUAAUUACUUUUAUUCUCGCCGUCGAAAUGGCGCUCUUAUUUCUUCUUUUUCGCACUCUGGCGAUAAUGAAAGUUCGGUUCGCUGAGAGAGAGAGCGAUGGAAUUUUGUUUACAGAGUAAUAAUGACUAUACGUGCGUUCUAUGGAAAAGCUUUUGCCCUCUUUAUCCACGACGCGACGAUACAAAAGGGGACUCGAUUCGUUCCGAAUAAAUUCACCGGAGUCGGAUUCAAUGGAAGAGCCGGCAAUAUCACGCGGAAAGAACGAUUCAUAUCGAAUUUAAGGCCGAUUUUACGGGGAGUCAGCGGAUAAUCCGACUGCGAGACCGAGACGCCCGUGCUCGAGGGUGAGAACGGGCAAGAUGAAUAUUCCAUGCUAAAUUCGUGGCGAAAGAAAUCCCAACGACGAGGGAAAACGAGAAGAAGGAGACGGCGAGUCUCGUGACCCUUUUCCGAGGGAGAUUUACCACUUGUUUCGGAACUUCUUCGUCGCCGAAAGAAAGAAUUUAGCUCUCGUUUAAGAACUUCGGUCCCCUCGGUACCUCGUUUAGUAUCCGCGAUCGCUCGGCAUGUCGACACGCUCGUCUAACAAAUUCGCGCAUCGAUAUUUAUACACAGGAGAAUGAUAUAUUUUAUUUGCUAUUACUCAUAUGUAUUCAGGACAAAUAAUUUAAGUAUUAUUAUGUCAUUCAAUUUUGUGUACGAUGUAUUUUUAUCAAUGAUUACAACAGAUUUUAUUAAGAAAAUAAUUAUUUAUAACAUUUAAUUUCUAUUUAGAAAUUAUUGCAGUAUCACGAUACCACAAGAUACGUCAGUAAAUAUUGCAAAAUAAUGCUUAUAAUUUUCAUCUUGAAGUAAUGCUCAGCAAAAUUACAAUUGCUCUUUUUAUUUAAUUGUAAUAUGUAUAUCAUAAUUAUGGAUAUUAAUUUGAUUAAUUUAUACAUGCUCAUAUCAUACAUCUGCUUGUGCAGAGAGAUAAUUUUUUUCUGAGAUCCGGACCAGGAACUUUAUGCCAUUUGUUUUAUUCAAGGUACAAUUUUGGGGUAGACAGGUAUGCAACAGCGAUGCAACGCUGCGCUUGUGCAUCAGCCUACUUCCGCUCGAGUAAAUACAACCUUAAUUAACACGGCGUCAGCUCGCACUUCCCUUCACAACCCUUCUCCAUGGACUUACGACACAACAAACAGACGUAAUUCACGCAAUUGUCCUUCGAACGAGCAGACAUCACGGACGAAGAUGGUGCAUUCCUUCCUUGCAGACCGCGUCGUAAAUUAAUUAAGGCCGCAUUUCAGUCGUUCCCAAUGUAUUUGCACAGGGGUUAAUAUUCCUGCAAAUGUCCCUCGUCUCUCCGUUCAAAGAGAUCUGAUCCUUGUAGAGUGGUCCUAUGUAUUUUCCGAGAUGCGUUCUGGAAAGAGAGAACGAGGAAAGAUAUUAACGUACGGCGGGCAAAUUCGCAAAAUACGCCAGCAGGAACCGGACGAUUAAAACUGUAAAUGUUAUAUUUGUUUAAUAUUAAUUUUAGUAGAUAUUGCGACGGUAAACAUAAAGCGAUUCGAUUUAUUACAUUUUGUUUAAAUAUUUUGCGAUUUGUUUCAAACAAAAGGAAUAACGAAUUGAAAAUAUAAGCGCGGAAUUUUGGGUCAAUGAUUUUAAAGCAUCUCUUCGCCUUCUAUUUUGGGUGCUCGCUAAAAAUGAUUUUGGAUUAUAUAUAUGCGAGUCGCGUCAUGCGCGGGACGUAAAAUGUGAUUUCAAGAAUCCGCCGGUAAAUAACAUUUUUAGAGCCAGGACUCGAGGGUGCGCCUCCGCCUCUUUCUCCGCUUAUUCAUGAGUAUUUGACUUAUUCAAGAAGCGAGGGUCCGAGAAGACCUGAAUGCGAGAGCCCAUGGACAUACAUCGGCCACCGAUGCGAGGGUAAUAUGAAUCCAAAGGCUAAACUUAUCGUGCAUUUCAGAUUUUCUCGCGAAGCUGCACGCAUACGAAGAGCGAAUAUUAGCUGCGCGAGCGUUAGGUGAAUACAUCGAAUAUUUAUCAAGUAACGAUUAAUGCGCAUCCUCAUACUUAAUCUUGCGAUUUAUUCGAACCGAUGUAGAUACAUGACACGAUCAUCAUUCAUGUCUGUCGGAUCGUAGGGAGUUUUCAACUUUUCAGAAUCCGAGAUCCUUCACAAGUUUUGUAGUGGAAUAUCUUGUUGUUGAAUUUAAAACAGAAUUUAUUUCUUCUCUAUCACGAUAUAUGUUAAAAGUGUCCUUUUACAUUUUGUGGCUGUUCAGGAGAAGAAAUUCUGUUUCGAAACUCCCUUAACCGCUAAAUCGAUUGUUCCGUGGGAACCAAGAUUUUUCUUGGCGAUCGCAAAUCUGGGUCGAAAUUAAAUUACCAAGUUGAGGCGGACCAACUGCCGAGCGUUGAGAAAGCUCGCGCCGUUUCGUUUUGUACCGUAAAUACGUCCGACCUUUCCCGAUAGUUCCAGUGGAGACCCAGUUGAUUUCUUUUUUUUUGCUACGCGGCUAGUUCACACGUCCGCGUGCUGACCGGGGCGAGUUUCGAAAAACCCGCCGCCGAUGGAAAGUUUUCCAACGUAACCCUCUUUAGCCCCGAAAACGAUGGCGGCAAACGAUCUUCCGUCGACGUUUUCCGUCACGUGUUUUUACUGUGACUCGCCGUCGACCUAAUGCGGAUCGACGGCGAAGGGGCGGAGAACGCGACGCGACGUCGGGCGGGGGAGGGAAGAGAGAGAGCGUAGAAAAGUUUAGUGAAUUCCGCGCUGCUGCAGCUAAUCUUCCAAACUACUUCGAGUUUAAUUUCCCUUAUCGCGACUUUCAGCGCCUUACGAUCGGCGGCCAAGUUCUUUUUGUUUUGUCGCGGCGAGAGCAGGCUUGAUUAUCCAUUACCGCGUGAUUUAUUAGCGCGGACGUUAGCCGGAUUUACCCUUUAGCGGCAAUAAAUAGCGAAAGAUUUUCGGAGGAUCCGACGUUUAAAUCCUAAUAUCAAUUUCGGCGCUCGUUCGAGCGCGCGUGCCAAAGCGACGAAAUAGCCCGGGCAAUAUCUGAUGCGUUUCAAUGGUUUCUUUAUUUCAUCGUUAGCGACGAUUAUUUUCACCCUGCCACCCCUUGCAACAGUCAAAUAUUUAUGGAUACUGAAUACUGAAAUACAAAAUCGAGAGUCAGACAAAUAUUUCCAAAAUUUUGCACUCUUGAGCAUUUUAAACAUUAUUUAAAAGAAACCGAACAAUUAACGGAAAAUAUCAGAUUUCCGAAUGCGGUUUUAUAUUUACAAUUGUAUUUAUAUAAAAUACGAUUGUCUUGGGUAAUUGAAAUAAUUAAUUUCGUAAAAAGGAGAGAGAUUUAAUAAUCAGAAGUUUAUAUCAAUUUAUUCAUUAUUUCAACUUUUAAUUAUUUUGUUACUAAUUGUUUUUAAAUACACAAUAAAAUGUGAGGUUUCACGAAGAUAGUGAUAACGUUUCCUCGCGGUCGGACGCGAACCGAUGGGGUAGGAGAGCGUUAAAUGUUUGACGUGGAACAUUAAAUAAACGGUACACAUGGAUGGUUACGUAAAAUCAACAGUGGGUGACAUGGUCGAGAAAAUCUCGAUGCAAUUUCUAAAACGUGACAACGCGUCUCAAUUAAUCAACGAAUGCUUUUUGAGUAACGCCGAGCUUUUAAUCCUUUAUCUGAGAAAAUACUUGUUUACAUCAGUCACCUAUAUCCUUUCUCACUUUAUAAAUUAUCACAGAAAUGGAUUUUUCAGUAUGCUACUAGAAUAAAAAAAAGCAACUGAACCAACGUUGUUUUGAAAGAAUUUACUGAAAUAUAAAUAUUGCAUUUACACAAAGAAUAAUGUGUUAGAACUUAUUAUUUGUAAAAGCAUUAGGAAAAUAUUAAUUUUAGCAAGCGUCGAAUUGCACGAAAAGGCAAGAGUACUCUUUUGUUUACGUAUACUAAUUACAAAAUUUAUUGCUUUAACUUACACAAAAGACAAACAGAAAGUAUUGGCAAAUUGCAUUAUAAGAUUUUGUGAUAUGCCUUAAUAAAGGUACGCGGAAACGAUUAUAAUACCCACAGUUUAGGAGGCCCCAAUGUACGAAUGUCGUUAAGCACUUGUUUCUUACACCAUUCCUUAUACCUUUCAUAUACAAAUUUAAGAACACUCGUGGUUUAGGGCGAUCAACAAUGUUACUAGGGUUGACGUGCCGGUCGACGAUACGGGAGAACGACGACGACUUCUUUUUUCAGUCCAGACCAUUACCUUCCUUUACCUUAUCGCCGGUUUGUGUGAGAUGGAGGCUAUCUCUAACCGUGAAUGGGUUAGUUCACUCCUGUAUAUUCAGACAUCGACUGACAUUCGCUUCUAGACAUGACGAUAUCUUCGAUGUAACUUAAAGCCCCCCUCGACAACCAACUUUCUUAUGAAAAAGAACGGGCGCCGAGUCGUCAACCAGUCUUUUGCUCGGAUUAACGGGCUCUUGCCGACUUACCCGGUUGUUCGAGUCACCCGUUGUGCCCUUGUUUCGCAAUUGCAGUCGACUUCCCCUUGUCGCGUCCCGAAGAAUCGCUCGUAAACAAAGCCAGAAUAAAUUGACAUUUCUCCGCCUCUUUCCUACUUACCAUUUUCUCCAAAGUUCCCCCUUGUACUACCCUGACACCGGUCGAAUCCUCGCUUCACAAUCUCUUUCGCGACGAAUUUAUCGGGUAAUCCGACGAAAUCUGACGCUAGAAUGUUGAAGUAACUUGGAAUUUCCAUCGUUCUGUUCCGACAUUGCACGUUGAUGAGAAAUAAUUUGGAGAGAGAGAGAGAGAGAGGAUGGGGGGGGGGAAGGGCGAGGUGCAUUUUUUGAAAAGAUAGCAAAUAGUUUUGAUAAAGGUAUAUCAAGAACGAUAAUAUUUAUUGCUUUUAAAUUAAAUAAAGUAUCCUUCCAACAUUGCGCUAUGAGAAAAAUACGGAAAUGUAAAUACACGAGUUAUGUAAAACAUACCUUUAAAAGGUCCGGUGGAAACUUCGUGCGCAUGUUUCCGUGUAAAGGAACCUUUCAUAUGCAUAUGGAUCCGCAUGCUUUCUUUCCCAGUUAUUUUGGAAUACCGUAUAUGCAUCAGUUACUGCAGUAAAAGUUUUCGCGAUGCCAUUUGUUAUACUGAAUCCUUGUUUAUUAUCCGAAAUAUUUAUAAAAUAUACACACAUUGUUUCUAAGAAAAAUAAGUAGAAUUUAAACAUAAAUAGGAAUUACGAAGGAUACAUAGAACAAUAUGGUAAUGUUAAGCGAAUUAGGACCGUAAUAUAAAAUAUCUAAUCUAAUGUUUAUUUUUUACUUUAUUUUUAUAACAUUAUUUGAGAAAAACGACAAAUAAUUUAAUCGUAGGAUUUAUUUGUUCGUUUUUUCUUAAAGAAAAAACGGGCGCGUUAAUAGGAACAAGUGCACAUGUUCCGACAAUUUCCUUUUAUCUUUGUAAUAGCGGUGAGCAAACUGAGCUAUUGCAAAUUUUAGAAAGGUUCCUGAAGAAGCAAGCAAUUAAUACAAUAGUUAUAAUUACGACUAUGUGCGCCAGAUUGCAGUAAUUAAGCAUAGCGCAGCAUUCAUUCGUUAAAAAUUCUUUUCUUCUCGGAACGAAUCGCGUACCUCGAUUACAAGCCACUCUUUUUUUUCGACGGAAGCUUGACGAAAGAAGAAAAGGGGGGAAAAAGAAACGUCGAUGCAAUUCCUUUGUUGCCUUUCUGCCUUUUUCGGUUCUUUACUAGGCUAGUACUCCCGCGCGGUUAUUUAAAAGGAAAAGAUAGCGGGGCGCAAUGAAGGAUAACGCAUUGUCCACCAACGCGGUGCAGUUAAAACUUGUCUCAUAAUUACUCUCAUUUAGCACCAUUCGCCCUCCCUCUCCCUCCUCCCCGUACUUUCUUCUUCCUUCUUCUUGUUUGACUCUGUAUCACCCCUUUCUUCGUUCGCUCCGUUUCCCGCGUCGGCAUGGCGAGCACAGCGUGAGGUAACUCGUUCGCGCUCUACUUCAGGCAUUAAAUCAUGCUACUUCAUAAUAUCCUGAAACUCAUGAUAUCUUAUAAGCGUAAGUUACGUCAAUUAAUAGCGUCACCGUGCAAUAUACCUUACUCCUCUCAUGCAUACGCGAUUCAACGUACAAUCUCCGGAUAUAUUGAAUGCCUUGCAACCGAAGGUAUGAUAAAUGGAAAUUCUACAUAAACAAAUAAGUAGAGAUUUAAUUAAAAAAAACAUUUUUUUUCUAUCUUUCUAUAAAAGUUAAUUGCUAAAGUUUAGUUUUUUAUUUAUUUAUUUUAAAGAAGAGCUUUUAUCGCGAUGAAACUAGUUAUAUUUGACUUAUAUUUUUAUAUAGAAUUAUUAAUCGCGUGUUAUAUUUUCAGUUACGAGACUCUGUAUUUUUCUUUUGCACGUUACACUCACUAACGGUUCACGGAACGUUUGCGCAUGAAUUCUUGAUUGCGCUUCACUGGCGAUCGGUACGAUCGCCGGACAGAUUUCAAGUUACUGCGCUUUCAUUGUCGCGCCGGAUUACCGGAUGGUGCCGGGCAUUCCGCGGACGCAAUUCGAAAUCGUUUAAAAAAAAAUAGGGGGAGGGGACGGGGUGAGAAUGAGAGGAAACAAAUUUUCGACGUUGUUUCGUCGGCCGCCAAGUGCUCGCGAGCCGGGCGUUUACGCCGGCACGGUUUUCCAUGGUACGUUUCUAUUAUUUGAAUACGUAGAAGUCCAGUUUGCGGACGUAGUUUUGCGGCGCGCGAACCACUAUCACGAUCGGUCGAUUAUUUUUACGAUAGCGAGCAGAACGAAAAGCGCGAAUUUUUCCAGCUACUGGUAGAAAAAGAGAGCCCCUCGAAACUCGGUUAGUAUCGAUCGAAAUUCGCUUUAUAUGCUUUACCUCCUACCAUUGCCGUCGACUUGCGCUCCCACCGAGCGCACCCUUCCCUCCGCGUGAGCCCACCCCCGUGACCGCUAUCCGCGGUAUCUCCGUCAUAUUUCCAUCCUUGUUUACAUACGGCGUGUGCACACACCGAGCAUAGUGACGGUGCCCAUUGUUUGACUGAAUGUAAAACAGUUCACGCGCCACAGUCAAGGAUUCAAUUUUCGAUUGAUGCGAUUUUAAUGGCGUGUUUACUUUGAAAUCGGACGGCGCACCGAUAGCGGUAUCGGCUUGCAUCAACUCGGGGUAAAGUGCGGCGGGUGUAUUUUUUUCCAUAGUGAAAUUAAUGGAUUUUGCACGAGAGAGUGCUUUUUUCAAGAAGCGAGUGCCGAAAUACGAGAGAACUCUUUUAUGCAUGACUUCCGUUUAAAAAAGAACGAAAAAUUUGCAAGCUACUACAACUUUUCGGCAUCUACACGUGAUGGAAUCAAAACGGAAUCUCUACUGAAAAUAUGGUGCUGUUGAAUGCAUACGAUCUUUCUUUAUUUAUGCAUAUAGACUUUACUUAGACACGAACGUUAUGCAGAUGAAAAAUUUGCAAUUUAUUCUAUCUCCUUUUCCUUUUUUCUCUCCCGAUCUUUUUAAUAAUAAAACUGAAUUUGUUGAUUCUAAUUUGAAAAUAUAACUGUUCGAACGAUAAGGAUUUGAGAGCUAAUCAGACAUCUAAUUUUAAACAGUGAAUAAUGUAUAAUAAUGCAAUCGCAAUAAUCAAAAUAUGGUCACUUUUGAAAAACGUGUCAAGAUUAGAAGCGUUUUUUCGGUAUUCGCAGCGCGAGAUUAAUGGAUUUCACGAACAAGAGCACUAUUUCGAGAAACUGGGUCUCGUAAAGCGAGAGAAUUCUUUUAUAUACGCGACUUCCGUAUAACCUCAGGGCAAGCGUCUGGCUCUCAAAGAGAAAUUUACACAUGCAAUUUUUGUAGAGAAACCCAAAGCAUGCAUUAGAGCGUUGUUCAGUUCAUAUAUCAUCUGUAUGUAUAAUCGAUGGUCAACGGAACGUGUCAUAAUUUUAUGAUUGAAGAAAAUUUCUAGAGAAUAAUGAUCGGAUUAUCUUAUCAAAAAGUAAAUAAACGGAUAUUUAGGUAGGACAGAAAUUUGAUCACGUUUUGCUGGGAAUGAAAUCGUCGAGAUAUUCAAAAAUAAAUGGAAAUUAAAUGUUUAUCUGUUCAUCACUUUUUAAACGGAUAAUUUUAUUUUUUUUUGGAUAUCAGAGAUUUUAAUAAACGUAAAUAUCCAUUUAUUACCUUUCAAAUGGAUAAUUUGUACGGACAGUUUUCUCAGUGUACGAUAAUUUUACGCAAUAAUUAACAUUGAGAAAAACUUGUUGCAUUUUAUAUGACGUUGUGAGACAUUAUAGUCGAUUUCAAAAGAGUAGAAUUUAACAGAUUAUCUGUAAAUUAACCACAAAUGGAUUAACACAUGUCGCGUUAUAAACACGGCUGUACAUUGUUACGGUGUUCCAUAAGGCCCAUCGAUAAUAUUGCCUGUGGUGUCCGUCAUUCGAUUGCAUGUAUAAUAAUCCGUGGUCCGUAACAAAGGAUUUAAUUUUCGAUUGCUGCAGCCAGUCUGUUUACCUUGAAAUUUAGCGCCGCGCGCAGAUACGUCGCUCAAAGCCGAUGAAAUGUAACCGACUGUACUGCGAUCGAAAACAAUAGUGUCGGGUUUUUUAAUCGAGAAAAUCGGAGACAUACGGUGCGGUACAAUAUACCAUCCAUCCGUUUGCGCAAGAGUUGAAAUUGUUAGCCCGAUUUUCAUCGAUAACACAAAUGUAUUUUUAGAGUACGUACAAAAAUAAAAUAAUAAUUAAUACAAUUAAGUAUAUGGUUAUACAGCAGAAUUUUAGGUGCAACAAUAGAAAUUUACGAUAACUAUAGCUAUUGUUUGGUCAUACGUAAAGGUAGCCGCGCCCCAUUGUUAGGAUUUAAUUCUCAAUUGAUGCAAUUUCAAUGGGUGUGUGUAACUCAUUCUGAAAUCCAGUCAGUGCUAUUUUACGAUUCGAGCACGUAAAAUUAAUGCAAAUGCUAUCAUAAAAUAUAAAAAGAAACUCUAGCGAUUAAUAGUUUUCUUUAAAUUUUAGAGGUAAUCAAAUAUUUAUUGGUUUUACAAGAAAAAAUUGAUCAAAUGUAGCAAUUUCAAUUAUUUCGACAAUAUCUGUUGAUUUAUGAGUAAGUAGAAGAUAUUCGAUGACAUUGGCUGAUUGUAUAUUAUAUUUGUAUGUGUAUAAUGUUGUAACGGAUUGAAGAUAUUAUUAAAGGCUUCUAAGCAGUAUGUAUAUUAUUAUAUGCUCGUUAAAAAAUUGAUACCAGGUAUUGAGAGCUGCCUCGCAGAGUAAGACAUUCGAAAAUUACGAGGCAACUUUGUUGGAAAUAAUUAAUACCACGAGGAAAUUGUUUGACCGCGCGACGAACAGAAAUUAACGGACGCUGCAACUGAAUUGCUCGUAAAAUGAAGCUACGACGAGGAUCGAGAGGCAAAGUAAAUAAAGUUCAGUAGCUGGCCGGCUUCAUGGCGAUAUGACAUUUAUUCUGAAAUUAUUAAAGUCGAACUUUAUGUACAGGUAUUAUGGACAGACUGAUAUCGUUCGACGAAAUACAAUGUAUUGGUGAACUGGGAUUAAUCUUGCUUGCUGUAACUUUUUUCGAUGCCUCGAUCAAACGUUGGUAUACGAAGGAGAAAAUUCUUUUGAAAAGAUCGUAUUAAAGCGUUUUCUCGUGACGGUUAUUAAAAAUCUAUCUAUACGAGAAUUAUUCAAAAGAAGUAAUUUGAGUAUCGAUGUCGAGAGAGAAUUAUGCCAUAAUAAUGUUAAUGAACCAACAUCUUGAUAUGUUUAUAACGAGUUUAUAAACUGCAGGAUUUAGUUCCGUCAACGGAUGAAGUAACAGUUUGUUCGCGCUGGCAAUGUUCCUGACGCCGAUAUGACGCCGAUAGACUUCCGAUGACCAGGUCAGCUAGUAAACUCUUCCGCUAUCAAGCCGGACUUACGCGCUGUAAGUUGAACAACCGCGCGAUCCUUUCGAAAUUCGCCCUUACUAGCUGGCCAUAAUGUAAGAAUUAUCGACUACGAUUAAACAAAAUGCGUAAUUCCGUAAUCGUCUUGAAAUCGCGGAAAUUUCGCAGACACACAUAUCUCUUUAUCGACAUGCAAAAUCUCUCUCUCCUACUAGCUAAGGACAAAAUAUCUUCUCCUGUCGAGCUCAAACUGAGAUUCUUAGGGCGUAGCGAGCUCCUCGCGUGCCUUCGUAAUACACACUCCCAGAACGGUACAAGUUAUAUUUCAUCUCGUUCAAAUAAAGGGCUUCUUCAUGUUGCCAGCACCUAUCACGGCGGAUGAUUCUCAACUCACUUCUCCCCGAGACACGCCCGAGAAUACCACGACAUCGUGAAACGCUUUCUAUUCGAUGGAAACUUUCGCUCGCGUGUUCACAUGCUUUCGUUCGCGCUCGCGCGCGCGCGCGCGCGAGCGAACGAGAGAGUUGUACGUGCCACAAAUAUAUGUGUGUAUAUGCAUAAUAAAAGGAUAUCCCGACAGUGCGUGGCCCGAGGCGUUGCGAAAUAGAAAAUUGGCCCAUCCAUUUCUCGUAGCACUUUUCCUGCCGGGCGGGAUUGCUCGGUCCGCGUUGAAUAAAUGCAUGUAUCUCGAAGGCGCAGCUACACCGCUCCCUCUUGACUUCGGCUCUUCUUUCGCUCGGAUAGUAAUCCUCUCGCGUAUAAUACCCCCCUAGGAGAAACGGAAACCAGGGACCAAUGAUUCGAAUCGAUGAAGACGUAUCGUUGAACCGCGCCAACUCUCCUGGUCUCUCUCUCUCUCUCUCUCUCUCUCUCUGCUGUUUCGCUCCUCUUGACGAUUACAAAUGCCAACAGAAUUUUCGUUCAGCCAUUCACGCAGAAUAAGCGAGCCGAAAAGAUGAGUCAAAUUUUUUAAAAUGAGAUGGGAAGCUACCGAGAAUAGAGUAAGAACCGGGAAACGAGAAAGUCAGACGCGUCGCUAGAAAAACUGAUUCCACUAUCGGGAACUGACGCUAAUGAUUACGAUAGUAACUCGUAUAUCCGUUCGCUUGCUGUAUAUCCGUAUUACCGUAAAUUGUCGUAAGGAAAGAGACUGUCGCUUAAUACUCCGUUUUACAACCAUGCCUUAUAUCCGCUCGGGAGUUUCUGUUCGUGGUCUCCUCUGCGAUCCGCCUUAAGGGACAGACACUUGAGUUCGUUGGUAGGGCAUUACGAAGGAAUCGAGGUUGCAGUCAGCUACAAAUGUCCUCGAAACAGUGGCCGCUCCUCGCGGAACACAAGGGCGAAGAAAGACGUAAGAUGGCCGCGACAGAACGAAAGCCCGGUGACGGGAAAAAACUUCGCCUCGUUAUUCGAGGCUCAACGAAAUCCCUCCCGUUCUUGCUACCGGUUUCGCCGGUAAUGCAGGUGAGCCAGACAAACUGCGGUUUCGCAAUUUCGUCGGGGAAAAAGGGCGAUUCACGGGUAUAAUUUAUAAUUACGUUAUCGUCAAAGGGUUCGUCUGACGCGCUGCUGAUGGCAGGCAAAAUGUUUCGCGCCAUCAGAGGGGAAAUUUCGCAAAGCGGAAGCGUCGCCCUUUCUGACGUAUGUUAUUACGUCGGGAAAUUACGCUAUUAGUCCAUCAUGUCACAUAUUUCGAUUUAAAGACUCCUCUAUAAGCGCUUCUAUGACAUAUAUAGAAGCGCUUAUAGAUACAUAUGUCUCUUGAUACUUUAUGCUAAUUACAUAAUUAAAAAUCAAAGUGAUGAUAUGAUGUUUAUUUACACAUGUUUAAUUUUGUUAAAACAGUAUAUAAGAAGAAUGAUAUCGAUACUCGAAACCUAAUAUCUAACAAUAAUUGAUAUAAUAGGUAUUAUCCUGUUAUGUUUACCAAAAGAAGAAUUAUAGAAAGCGUUCCAUUUAUUUAGAAUGCUGAGUGCACGUGAUAUAAUUCAAUUGUAUUUUGGUAAAUAAUUCGUUGAUGCCGUUGAGCAUUCGCGCUAUUGUAAAUAUGGUAAUUUUGCUUAUCAAUCAGCAAUACGAGUCUAAGAAAAUAAUAAAUUUUAUCCAAUGGCAUAGCGUGUCGAGUUUUUUUGCGUCAACAUAUGGAACGUGGAAAAAAAAAAUAAAUUAGCUAAAAUGGAUUUUAGGUUUUGUGGAAUAAAUAGGAAGAUAAAUUCACAUUUAAUAUGUUGCAAUCUCUGAAUGUGUCCUCCGAAUAAUUAUUUUCUGCAUUUGCUAAUCGGCAAGUAAAAUUAUUGCGUUCGCAUUGAACCGAAUGCUCGUAAGCGUCAACGAAUGAUACGUUGAAAGCGAUGAUACGAUGAAAAUCAAGCAAUUUUAAACGCAAAUGCAACGAAAACGAUGAGGAAAAGUAAUGAAUAAUGUAUCAAUAUUUCAUGGCAUCGUUAAUGAGCAUUGAUAAACCCGCCCUGAGGCUAUUAUUUCCGGCUGUCAAAUUUCGAACGUUCGAACGCGACAAGUCGUUAUAAUUAUUGGGAGCUGUGCUCGUGAUAGGAAUAAACACGUGGAAAAAGAGAAUUAAGUGUACAAAGUUUUAUUUUAAAUUACGUAUACUAUACGUAAAUUGUAUAAAUUGUCGAAGAUAUAUUGUAAAAGAUUACAGAAGAGAUUUAUUGUUCACCGUUAAAGCUGAAGAAGUUCACAAGUUAGUAACUUGAAGAUAUAAUUUCCCGUUUGAAUUAUGAGAAUUCGAGAGGCGAUUAAGAACAUAAAUUUAACACAUGGCGAAUCAUAUUUUAAUGCCGUUAUGCGCGAUGAUUGGGAUCGCCCAUUCUGAAAAAAUCGACGAAACUUUUUCAAUAAAAUAAAAAAGGACGAGCAAUUGGGCAUAGAGCGGCGCGCUGCCUGCCUAUUCGUUUCAGGAACUUUUGAAAGGGCUCUCCUAUUGGCCUCCGGGUUCGAGAGAUCCAAAGCCAUUAUCGGCUGAUAUAUUAUCGGCGCGAAAGUAUAAUCGCCCGAGCGAGAAACUGACCGGACGCAGCCCCGUAGACCGGUACUCCUUUAAUCCGGGAGUUUCUUUCGUAGGUUUACUCCACUUGGUGCCCGUCCGCUAUAGUUUCUCCUUCGCUCGCCAUCGCCGCGAGCCGAAAUGGCCAUCCGCUCCGGCGGAUAUGUAUAUAUAUGUAUAUACAUCGCCGCCGCGCCGCGCCGCCACGCGAAAAGGCCACCGGGGAACUUUUAUUCGAGCGAUCCCGGCCCGCGUGACUCGCUCGAGUGGUCAGACAGAAAUUUAAGUUCGGCUUUUUCGCGAAGUGCUUCCCCUCGAAAGAGCGGUUAGCUCGUAAUCGGACCUGCCUCGAUGGUUACCGGUCGUAUACGUAGCUUUUGGAAGAACCGACACUCUAGUCAAUGGUGAUUGAAACGACUGCUUCUUUAAGUGGAAAGAAGCGCGGGAAAUCCUUGCGCUAGUUGGUUCCUUCAAACGACGUAUAAGAAUGACUUUACGUUCGACUUUUAUGCUAUCGCUUUCGAUAUAUGUAUAUAAUAGCAAGUAAGAUUAGUUUUAUUGGGAAUAACGGUCAUCUUUUUUUUGUUAGGGGGCAAAAAACGAUUUCUACUUGCUCAAUUUAUUUUCUAAAAAAUCUUUCUUGUAAAAAGAAAUCGAUAAUAACACAUAUAAAACACAAAUUUAUGCCAUUUAUUAAAACUGCCAACGUUGUAUAAGUUACAUUUAAAUUAUUACAAUUAACAUUAAACGAAAGUAUGUAAAUUGUAAUGUAUGAUUAUCGUUUAUUUCCUUUUCUAUUCUAUUUCUUUAAUAAACUAUCUUUCUUUUACAGUUUGGAUAAAAUGGUCUAUGAUUUUUUUCGGGAUAAGUGUUUAUGUUUAUAUUUUAUAAAAAAGACGAGAAUUAAGUUAUGUACUUAAUAUUUUAAUUUUGAUAUAUCAAUAUCUUCUUUAGUACUGUUAAUGAGUUAAAUAGAUGCUAAACUUAUAUGAACAUUUAUUAUUAAUAAUGUUUAAAAAUAAAAUAAAAUAAUGUAAAAUUAAAGUUUUUUAAAUUAUUUUAUAAAUGUUAAAAGUACAUAAAAUAUAUGGCUAACUGGCCUUAUAACACUAUGCCAUUUUUUCCCUAAAAGUUGUGAAAGAAGAGAGAGAGAGAGAGAGAGAGAGAGAGAGAGAGAGAGAGAGAGAGAGAGAGAGAGAGAGAGAGAGAGAGAGAGAGAGAGUUAAGAAGGAAGGAAAUAAGAAGGAAGAAUAUUAUGUAAUAACAAAAUAGGAAAUCAAACGGUAAAAAGAAAUUUAAAAAAGCUAAAUAGCGUGCGCGAUCGUAGUUAUCAAUAUCGUGAUUGUUAUGGAAAGGUUGCACUUUUAUCGUUUCUUCAAAUUUAUCUCGUCGAGUGUUUCGUAUUGGCAAUUUCGGAGAGCCAAGUAAUAUUUUAUCAAAUUUAUAUGCGACAGGCAGGGGCAGGAAAUAUUCCAAUUACAUAGGAGGGGACAAUAAAUGUUCGUAAAUCGUUGACCCGCUGCAAACAUCGUAAAUUUUACAACGAGUUACCGUUGUCGGGCAUAACUUUGAUUCUACGAUCAACAUGACGCGCACGUGACACGGCCACGACCUUAACCCCGCGGCGAAUGGAAGUACUUUCCGUCCGCCUUCUUUAAUUCAAUCGUCAGUCCGCAGCGCGAAAAAUGUUUGGGCGCAACUACCGAGAUAAGAGCUCGCAACACAGAGAACGAAGGGAAACGGAAUAUCGCAUUUUAUACUGCUUUGCCCCAAUUUCUCGCCACGCCGCGAGUGUAUCCAGCUCACGUAGGACGUAUCAAGGAGCUUUACACUCGAAGUACGCUUCGAUGAGAGUGAAAUAAAACGAAAUGUUUAUGCUGCUGGUUCGAAGGGGCAACCACUCUUCUUCCUAUGUACACUCCUUGAUCAUGCGAUCGUAGAGCAAAAGAGUAAAGUGGGAUGCCUGUGGGAUAGGUGUACGUUCUUCGAAAAAUGUACGCGAAUUUUCCAACUCGAUCGUUGGAAGAAGGAUGGCAGCGUGCACCGUCAUUCGAUAUCAUGAACGCUACUGCGGCAAAAACACCAAUUUAUAUCGUAAACAUACGUGAGCGUUGAUUUUGGUCGCCGCGUCUUUAUUAUAUAUCGCGAAACGCCCGGGUGCAAAUGUGUGCGCGGGCGGAUGUUAAGUUCGCGUGUGUGAGCGCUCUUUCGUGAACGUUUACGUUUUCGGGACCGGCUUAGCCGGUGAAAAGAAGGCGAAGCUGCUUUCCGAGAAACCCGAGGCACUCGUAAAAUCCUUCCUAUUCUCCUCUUUGCGUUUCUAUGCAGAGCAUACCCGGCUAUUCUUGCAUAAUGCAGUGCCGCGUGUAAUUUCUUCCUGAGAAAUUUCCAGAUUUCUCUCUCUCUUCUCUAUGCCGAUUGAGAGCUAAUGGUGCACAACGAAGGGCGCAUUGAUUGCGCGCGGAUAAACGAAAUAAUGACCACGCCAUCGAGACAAUUAAAUUAAAAGCUACAAAGAAACUGACGUCUUCUUAUAACAUUCCUUUGUACGGUCAGACGAAAGAAGAAACGAUAUGACCUCGAUGUCUCGUUGAAUUGGCAAUUAAUCUAGAUCUCCUUGGCUUCUUACUUUCAAACCGACAGGGCGAUAGACGGUAUUUGAAACGCGAUAUUGUUCAUAAUGUUUCUAGAAAUAAAAGCGCGCGAAUUGAUUAUUUUAUUUGUCUUUCACUUUCGCUGAAAUUAAGGUAAAAGAUUAAAAAAUGAGAGAGAGAGAGACGCAUAUUUAUUAUUAAUUAACGUCUGUCCCUUUGGGGUAAUCAAAGUAUUCUCUUUGAAUAGUUGGACUGAAACCUAAUCUAUAUUACCGCAUUAUACGAGAGAGAAGAAGGGGGGGAGAGAUAGAGAGAGAGAGAGAGCUCACUAAAGUAUCUUCGGGAAUUUCACGUGGAGCGCUCAUAACCGAUAAGUCGGACGAGUGUUCUGCGUCCGAUAAUAUCCAUAUUCAAUGGGCUCGAUGGUUUCGAGCGGAUAUAGCCUCGAUGCGCGCGUGACGGUACACCGAGCCCUCUGCCAUGUAAUUGAAUGAUGGGCCGGCGAAUGAUAUUAAUGCACGAAGAUUGGCACCGGGACACAUUGGGACGAUCGUGGAAUAUAUAUGCCGUCGUUGCCGGCACUGCUCCACUCUGCUCUGCGCUCUGAUCUGCCCUGCCCUCGGCCUGACUAGAUUUCGGUUCGGCGUGCCUCACAAAGCAUCGGACAGCCGCAAUCCUACAUCCGGAUUUCUCGGGGAGACGAUUCGCGCGUCAUAUGUGCAUGAUCGCGAACAGGAGAAUUAUACGCGGUAACCCAGUGCCAGACGAUUUGUCAUUAUCUCUCUCUCUACACUCGUGUCGAUUGUGAUAUCUCCGUAUCUCCGUACUUGGAUAAUGCUCGCUCGUCGAUGAGUGAAUUAAGCAAGGCUCAGUGUAUGCGCAUUACAGAAUCGCCCUGCAACCUCGGAUUUCGCUUUGCAUAUUCGUCCGAAAGGGAGGGAAUUACCGCGAACGAUUGAGCUUGAGAACUUAAGCGCGGAAUGAUGUAAAGCUGUAAUUAUGUAAACGGCGAUAAUAUAUUAGACGAUUAUUGAUAUGAAAUUUAUGAUGCACUUGCGACAAAACGUACGCACAAAACCAGAUCAAUUUCCGCGCGUUUAAUAGUUACAGAAAUAUUUAUAUUAAAUAUCGCAUUGACAUCCGUGAGUCAUUGGGUGGAACACUGGCGAACGAAUCACAUUUCGUUCAUUCUGAAAAAACGAAAGAAUUUUUGUGAAAGAAUUUAAUAUAAAAUUCGGUUUUUUAUUGAAAUAUUUUUUUUCAAUUUUUUAUACACAUACAUAUAUACGCGCACACAUAUACAUAGGUAAAAAAUACAAAAUAAAAUAUGACAAUACGAUUCUACUCCAUAAAUUAUAUGUAAAACAGAGCGUUUAAAAUAAUAGUACACACUAAUACUUCUGCAUUGCGCAUAAAUAUAAAAAAAGUAAUAAUAACAAAAACUUUACUUAAAAAUAUGUGACAGUAGAGAGAUAAUAUUUUUCGAGAUUUUUAAGUUUUGAGUUAAAUCUGGAAUUACUGUCGUAUAUAUAGUAUGUUUACGCGCAAAAACUACACAAAUAUUAAUUAUUUUUACCUGUUAAUUAUACACGCAUUUUGCUUCCAUAGAUAUAUCAAGUAAAAUUAUAUUUUCUUCUUUGAAAAGUUAUCUUUCCAAUUUCAUGAAGUAGCAAAAUAAAAAUUUUAAAAAUAUAGUUGUCGCUACUGCGAAAAAUGAUAUUAAAUACAUUGAGCAAUAUAUUCGCAUCUUACAGUAAAAAAACAUAUUGUUUGUACCAUUACUCAUUAAUGUGUCUCUCGUUUCGAUAUACAGAAAUUUUUUUCUGAUAAAUCGUGCAAAAAGUUAAUGUAUUAGCGAAUGUCUUGUUAGUAGUAUCUUGCGCGUAUAAUUGUUCAAAUAUGCAACUCGCUGAUUGCUAUCAUUGCUAGACAACUGCUCUCACCGUCGUCUCCAUGUUCGAUAAUUGACGGUGGUACUUCCGAUAAUCAGUACAAGUAUCCGAGGUAGGAGCGCUUACAUAUCGCAAAUACGGAACUGUGAGAAUCAGAAAUCGAUAUCCGCGGUUCCCGAUAUAACGUAUCUACUUAUCGCCACGAAUUAUCGUUAUUUCGAGAAUUUAUGCGAUUUCUCAUUACCAUAAACUAUCAUAUUAUCACGUCGAUAGUAUUAUAUUCGUUAUUUUAGCGAAACACAAUAUUUAGAUUAAAAUGUACAUUUUCAGAUUCUUUUUUUCUCUGUUUAGACAGAAAGAAA